rnacentral:lncRNA from 1 species
AAUCUCCUUCAAAUAGUUCUUCUAGUAAAAAAUGUAGCACUGUAAAUUUAGGUAACAGUAUAGUGUAAAAUCUAUCACUGUAAAAUACAAAAAUCACAACCUUUAAGCUACUACUAUAAAUUACAGAAGUUAUAGGAUUGUAAAACUUCAAACAGGGUAGUGUAAAUUCAAACAUAAGGUCACUGUACAUUCAAACAAUCAAAAAAAUUAUAGUGCGGUAAAUUAUAGAAGCUAUAGGACAGUAAAUCCUUCAACAGGUUAGUCAUCAAUUAACUAUAAUUUACUACGAAUACAACAAAAAAGUAGACUUCUAUGAAUACUACAGUACUGUAAAAUCCGAAGGUUGAGGUCGGUCGUGGCGCCCAUGCAUUGCAUCGGAAAAAAAAUCGCACGCCCUUAUGGUUGUCCGGAUCUUCUACUUGAAGACAGCUAAUCAUUACGCCGUCAUCCCGAGCUCUUCCUCGCUUCCCUCAUUGUUUGAUAAUCUAUCCAGCCCUUUUCUAAUGGACCACUUGGCCUGCUGUUUACAAAGCACAUAUCAGCACACUGUAACACUGCCAGUAGUAUUCAUACAUGGAAAGCCCACACAACGUUCAAUCAUUCUUUACCGGGUCUUUCUCUUAUGUUCACGUUGUAACCACACCCCUUAACCCUCCGCACAACUGUCAUUCCUUCUUCACCGGGUCUAUCAUUUGCCAUGUUAUACCCACACUUCACCCUCCUGCUGUUCUAUAUCUGUAAGCAUCUUGUUGAUCCGCUAAGCAUCUUGUUUCAGUAGAUAAGUUGAGUUGUAUAGCCGUCUAACUCGUAUUAUAAUUGGUGCUUCCUGAACCACAUAACAAUUGGACUCUUGCGAUCCUGAAUAAUGAACUGAAUCCGUAACAAAAAAUGUUCAACAUUAAGAAUAUUUAAUUAAAAAAAUCAGGACCUGUGAUGGUUGCAUAUAAUAAAAAGAUUGUUGAACCGGUGAUUGCUAAGAGGUCAAUUUCAUGCAUCAAAUAUAAACUGUAGUAGAAUUUGAUAAUUCUAAGCUUGCAAGGAAACCUGGGUACAAAAAUGACCUAUUGGGUGUCGCCUUCUAGGAAAUCUACCCUGUUCUGAAGGCUUGUGUAGAUGAAUUAUUUUCUAUGUGGAAAGAUAUACUUGUACACGCUGCGCCUUCGCCCACUAAUGGCGGCUAAGAAGCAUGAUCACCUAGAGCACCAUCACUGGAUUUAACCAGAACAAAAGGCAAACAAUUUUAUACAUGAAUAUCUAUAUGACUGCAGUCAAAACUAAAAGUACCUGAUUUUAAAUAUGGGUUGGGUGGCCUGCAGGAGUGCAGUACUUGAGAGACUAUGCUAGUGUAGUAAACAUAAAUUUGGCCGGUUAGCUUCUAUAGGGAAUGCAAAACACUUAUGAAAUAAGAAACAGAGAACAUUUAAGCAGAAAUAAGGUACAUGUUUGCUUACGAAUGGUACUAACAUGAUAUAUUUUCUGCCCGCCGGUAGGAUUAUCAAGCAAGAUCAUCAAAUGUUUCUUUGUAGACCACAUUGUGAGUAUUGCCAACAGUUUUCAGGAGAGUUAUUUUCAGUCAAAGCUGGAAGAUGAAGAGUGACUAAGAAAUACUCACAUUAGUAAAAAUAAAAAUCCUGGGCUGAAAAUUUGAGAUGUACAUAACUACUACAAUGUAGCAACGAACCCAUACUCUUUUUUCAUUAUGACUGCUGCUUUUUGACACUCAAGCGGACAUUUGUAUUGGCGA